GGGUUCCCUGGUCCCCGCGUUGGGGCGGGGAGCGCGGCGCCGGGGGAGGGGGCGGGAGCGGCGGCGCGGGCCCCCCGGAGGGGGCACCUGGUGGAGGCGCCGCCACCCGCCGCGCCAGCGCCGCGCGAACCCAGGGCCCGGGCCCCUGCGCGGGCUCGAGAGCUCGCCCGGCCGGGGGGCUUCCUUCGCCGCCGCUGACAGGUUUUGACCUUUAGGAGAGAACCAGUCUGGAGAACAACCUAACUUCUUUGAUUGAACACUCACAUAAUGCUUUGGAACAUUAUAGGAGAUUAAGACUUGAUAAGAGUAGAAUGAAGACCAUUAUUAAACAAUUGCUCCAGCAAUUCUUACCUUUCUACUACUUGAUGAAGAUAUCUUUUUUUACUGCAAGGAAUGAGAUGCUGUUUGUGAAUUAAACUUUUGUCAAGGGAAGGAGUGUCCCAGGUGGUGCAGAAGUGCCACCAGCCUUUAUCUAGAGACAUUCAGUGCCAUGGCCCUCUAGGAUGUGCUCCAACACUAUUCAGGCCCUGUGGCACCGGGGAUACCCAAGCCACACCUGGUACUGUGGUUCUGGGAAUUCCCUAUGAUGUCUUUGCUUUUUUAAAGCUAUGUGCAAUGAAGAAAAUGUUUAACCUUUCUGUUAAAUUUACUGUGUAAGGUGCUUG